rnacentral:rRNA from 1 species
GUUAGCAGCCAUAUCACCCUUCAACUUGCAACUGGCAACCCACUGAGGCUAAGCAGCUGUGAGGCUGGUCAGUACCUCGAUGGGAGACCUCCUGGGAAAAACUAAGGUUGCUGCUGGAA